UACGUAGGAUCCAAGCGUUGUCCGGAUUUACUGGGUGUAAAGGGUGCGCAGGCGGACUGGUUAGUCAGGGGUGAAAUCCCGUUGCUCAACAACGGACCUGCCUUUGAUACUGCCAGUCUUGAAUUAGGGAGAGGUUCGUGGAAUUCCGAGUGUAGAGGUGAAAUUCGUAGAUAUUCGGAAGAACACCAGUGGCGAAGGCGGCCCGCUGGACAUGUAUUGACGCUGAGGUGCGAAAGCGUGGGGAGCAAACAGG
rnacentral:rRNA from 1 species